GACGAACGCUGGCGGCGUGCCUAAUACAUGCAAGUCGAGCGAAGUUUUUCUGGUGCUUGCACCGGAAAAACUUAGCGGCGCACGGGUGAGUAACACGUAAAGAACCUGCCUCAUAGACUGGGACAACUAUUGGAAACGAUAGCUAAUACCGGAUAAUAGCAUUAACUGCACGGUUGAUGUUUAAAAGUUGGUUUUGCUAACACUAUGAGAUGGCUUUGCGGUGCAUUAGCUAGUUGGUGGGGUAAAGGCCUACCAAGGCGACGAUGCAUAGCCGACCUGAGAGGGUGAUCGGCCACACUGGGACUGAGACACGGCCCAGACUCCUACGGGAGGCAGCAGUAGGGAAUCUUCCGCAAUGGGCGAAAGCCUGACGGAGCAACGCCGCGUGAGUGAAGAAGGAUUUCGGUUCGUAAAGCUCUGUUGUUAGGGAAGAAUGAUUGUGUAGUAACGAUACGCAGUAGAGACGGUACCUAACCAGAAAGCCACGGCUAACUACGUG
rnacentral:rRNA from 1 species